GACGUAGGAUGCAAGCGUUGUCCGGAAUUAUUGGGCGUAAAGAGUUCGUAGGUGGUUUGCCAAGUCAGACGUGAAAUCCCUCGGCUUAACCGGGGAACUGCGUCUGAUACUGGAUGGCUGGAGUUUGGGAGAGGGAUGCGGAAUUCCAGGUGUAGCGGUGAAAUGCGUAGAUAUCUGGAGGAACACCGGUGGCGAAGGCGGCAUCCUGGACCAAUACUGACGCUGAGGAGCGAAAGCCAGGGGAGCAAACGGG
rnacentral:rRNA from 1 species